rnacentral:rRNA from 1 species
AACGAACGCUGGCGGCGCGCCUAAUACAUGCAAGUCGAACGAGAAGCUGUAGCAAUACAGUUGUACAGUGGCGAACGGGUGAGGAAUACAUGGGUGACCUACCCUCGAGUGGGGAAUAACCAGCCGAAAGGUUGGCUAAUACCGCGUACGCUUCCCAGUCUACGGGUUGGGAAGGAAAGCGAUGCCGUGGGUAUCGCGCUCAAGGUUGGGCUCAUGUCCUAUCAGCUGUUGGUGGGGUAACGGCUCACCAAGGCAACGACGGGUAGCUGGUCUGAGAGGACGAUCAGCCACACUGGCACUGCGACACGGGCCAGACUCCUACGGGAGGCAGCAGUAAGGAAUAUUGCGCAAUUGGGCGAAAAGCCGUGACCGCAGCGACGCCGCGUGGGGGAUGGAAGGUC